UACAGAGGGUGCGAGCGUUAAUCGGAAUUACUGGGCGUAAAGCGUGUGUAGGUUGCUACAUAAGUCGGAUGUGAAAGCCCCGGGCUCAACCUGGGAGGUGCGCUUGAUACUCGAGGGCUUGAGUGCGGGAGAGGAGAGUGGAAUUCCCAGUGUAGAGGUGAAAUUCGUAGAUAUUGGGAAGAACACCGGUGGCGAAGGCGGCUCUCUGGACCGUAACUGACGCUGAGGCGCGAAAGCGUGAGGAGCAAACAGG
rnacentral:rRNA from 1 species